rnacentral:rRNA from 1 species
CGGGUGAGUAACGCGUGGAUAACCUGCCUCACACUGGGGGAUAACAGUUAGAAAUGACUGCUAAUACCGCAUAAGCGCACAGUACCGCAUGGUACAGUGUGAAAAACUCCGGUGGUGUGAGAUGGAUCCGCGUCUGAUUAGCCAGUUGGCGGGUAACGGCCCACCAAAGCGACGAUCAGUAGCGACCUGAGAGGGUGACCGGCCACAUUGGGACUGAGACACGGCCCAA